rnacentral:rRNA from 1 species
GAUGAACGCUAGCGGCAGGCUUAACACAUGCAAGUCGAGGGGUAACAGCCCCGAUUUAUCGGGAGCUGACGACCGGCGGACGGGUGAGUAACACGUAUGCAACUUGCCUUUAACCAGAGGAUAGCUCCGGGAAACCGGAAUUAAUACUCUAUAACAUCCCAUCAUCGCAUGGUGAAGGGAUUAAAACUUCGGUGGUUAAAGAUAGGCAUGCGCAGCAUUAGCUUGUUGGUAAGGUAACGGCUUACCAAGGCAACGAUGCUUAGGGGGUCUGGGAGGAUGAUCCCCCACACUGGUACUGAGACACGGACCAGACUCCUACGGGAGGCAGCAGUGAGGAAUAUUGGGCAAUGGGCGAAAGCCUGACCCAGCCAUGCCGCGUGCAGGAUGACAGUCCUAUGGAUUGUAAACUGCUUUUGUAUGGGAAGAAUUCCCCCGACUCUUCGGGGGUUGACGGUACCAUUCGAAUAAGGACCGGCUAACUCCGUGCCAGCAGCCGCGGUAAUACGGAGGGUCCAAGCGUUAUCCGGAUUCACUGGGUUUAAAGGGUGCGCAGGCGGAAUAGUAAGUCAAUGGUGAAAGCCUACAGCUUAACUGUAGAAUGGCCAUUGAUACUGCUGUUCUUGAGUAUAGUUGAGGGAAGUGGAAUGCGUAAUGUAGCGGUGAAAUGCAUAGAUAUUACGCAGAACACCAAUUGCGAAAGCAGCUUCCUAAACUACUACUGACGCUGAGGCACGAAAGCGUGGGGAGCGAACAGGAUUAGAUACCCUGGUAGUCCACGCUGUAAACGUUGCUCACUCGCUGUUGGCGAUAUACUGUCAGCGGCUAAGCUAAAGCGUUAAGUGAGCCACCUGGGAAGUACGUCCGCAAGGAUGAAACUCAAAGGAAUUGACGGGGGCCCGCACAACCGGUGGAACAUGUGGUUCAAUUCGAUGAUACGCGAGGAACCUUACCUGGGCUUAAAUGUAGAUUGACUUCCGCCGAAAGGUGGUUUUCCUUCGGGACAAUCUACAAGGUGCUGCACGGCUGUCGUCAGCUCGUGCCGUGAGGUAUCGGGUUAAGUCCCUUAACGAGCGCAACCCCUAUUGUUAGUUGCCAGCAGGUAAAGCUGGGGACUCUAGCAAAACUGCCAGCGUAAGCUGGAGGAAGGUGGGGAUGACGUCAAGUCAGCAUGGCCCUUAUGUCCAGGGCUACACACGUGUUACAAUGGCCAGUACAGAGGGCAGCUACCGCGCGAGCGGAUGCUAAUCCCCAAAGCUGGUCUUAGUUCGGAUCGGAGUCUGCAAUUCGACUUCGUGAAGGUGGAAUCGGUAGUAAUCGCACAUCAGCAACGGUGCGGUGAAUACGUUCCCGGGCCUUGUACACACUGCCCGUCAAGCCAUGGAAGUCGGUACUGCCUGAAGUCCGUAACCGUCAAGGAGCGGCCUAAGGCAAGACCGAUGACUGGGGC